GAGAUCCCACCUUCUGUGCGCCAUCUUGACGCCCUCGUUAUCGUUCAGUCUGUGAUCGCGCUCUGUUCUCUGCCGCGCUCUUUGUCUCCGCUCCUUCUUUGAACGAUGGGCUUCGUUUCUGCUCUGGCAUCGACGCGCGCGCUGCCUGGGCAUCUGCCUUUGAAGAAUUUGGCUUGUGUGAAAUCAACUCAGAAAUAAUUUAGCGAGUUGGGGGUGAGUUUUGUUUUUUGGCAGAGCUUUUGGACGUGAAAGAAGGUUUUUGCGCUGCACUAAGCAGCAGGAAAGCAGCGCGAUAAACUGUUCUACUUUCAUAACUCCCUCCAAGGUCAGAUCUCUGAUACUUUGGCAUGAACUCACUGGGCUCUUUUUGCACAUCAGAAGGUGGACCAGUGCAAAAACCUAGUUAGGAUACAAACCUUAUUAAGAUGCUCUCAAGAGCGGCUCAGACCACGCAGCUCUGACAGCUGCACUGCUGCUCGGGAUGUUUCAUCUCGUCUGAGUGUGUAAUGCUUCCUACGAGUGUAACGCGUGAGGCAAACGUACUGGUCACAUCGAUCCUUCCUUCGUCGUGCUCAUAUUUACUGUUUACCGGCACGUUUCUCAUUAUGGCGUAUGAUACGACGGAUGCUGGAUCCACCAUUUUCACCUCUACUCCCGCAGGCGAUGAGGUAAAAAACAAACAUCCCAGCGGUUUCUUCUCUGCAGAGGUCAGACCUACCUCCUGACACGGCUGAUAAAACAUAUUGACCUCAUUUCUGUGCCAUAUAUUCAAACCAGGACGAAUCAAGAGGCUGUUCAGGUUCAGGUUGUUUUAUGGCUGUGCUGUUUUUAUUGGUUGUUUUUUUUUUCUUGCUGUUACAGAUCCUUUUGAUAGAAAAUAAUCUCUUGUACUCUAUUAAUCCACGUCAAACCCAACAGAGUGAUCUGGAAUUAAAACACCUAUUUCUCAUUGAUACCAUUGCAGUGUAAGACGAUUGAUAUGAAGUAGGCUAAUCCUGGCUUUAAAUUACCAGCAGUUCUGUUUUUGCAUGCAUAAUUCAUCACGCUGGUGCUCGUGUUAUAAAUAUCAUAAUCAUAUAUGUCCUAUAUAAAAUGCCACUGCAGGCCUCAGAGCACACACCUCCUGAUUGCACAGUGCAGGAUGUUUGUCAUGAGCGUCAAGAGCGGCAGGUUUUAUUAAAUGAGCUGCUGAAACACCCAAGCUAACAACAGCUAACAGUUAGCAGCCAACG
rnacentral:lncRNA from 1 species